UACGUAGGGUGCAAGCGUUGUCCGGAAUUAUUGGGCGUAAAGAGCUCGUAGGCGGUUUGUCGCGUCGAAUGUGAAAACCCGGGGCUCAACCCCGGGCCUGCAUUCGAUACGGGCAGACUAGAGUUCGGUAGGGGAGUCUGGAAUUCCUGGUGUAGCGGUGAAAUGCGCAGAUAUCAGGAGGAACACCGGUGGCGAAGGCGGGACUCUGGGCCGAUACUGACGCUGAGGAGCGAAAAGCGUGGGGAGCAAACAGG
rnacentral:rRNA from 1 species